GAGACUGAGGAAGUUGUUGUUCAGAAUACCUGACAAUUUGGCGGCCAGAAUGCUUGCCUGAGAUGCAGGAUUCUGAUAUUCAGACAUCUUGCGGGACAUAAGCUUGAAAUCUGGAUUCCCAUGUCAUCAGUGUCUUGACAACAGGUGGUCAUCUGGGAGGGGUGAGAGUUUUUCUGUUCUUCAAUGUAUUUCAAGUCUCACCGUGGGUAUGAGAACCUUUCCUGGAUAAGUGCUUUGUAAAAACUUGUUGAAAAAAAAAGAGGCUGCUUUUCUGUGCCUGCCCAGUGAAGAAGAGGAACAUCAAUCCUGCUUUCAAACACGAGUCUCAGGAUGUACCCAGACACGUGCUGCACUUGGCUACACAACUUUUCAUUUCUCCUUUGUCCACUUCCAGCAAAAGGUUCAUCAAAACUGUGGAGAAAUUUGAUGCUCCCGGUGACGAGUUCAGUGCUCCUUUUAUAGCUGAAUUACGUGAAUUGGAAACUGAAUGGGGACAGAGAGCAUGGGACAGAAUGGGCACUAUUUUUACCACAGGGGCAUUCUUCAUAGCCCUGGCAUCACUGGCAACCUGUGAGAGCGCUGAUGAUGAUAUACUGCAUUUUGUGGGAAUCCAGCCUACAGGGACAGCUUUACAAGCCAUUGCAGGCUUCAGGCAUCUAUUUUUAUCAAACUGAACAAUUGUUGCUUAGAAAAAAUGAGACCCCUACUUCCCGGGCCACGUGUGGCUGACCUCGGUUAGUCCGAACUCCUUUGACCUCAGUGCAGCUUAAGCGAUGUGACAGCCCCUUUAAUUCCUGUCUUUGAGAGGCUCAUGUGAUAAUCAUGCACUUGCUCUGUCAGAGAAGCCAGCAAAGAUGAUUCUGUCUGUACUUGCUGCCUGCAAUAAACCUUUUCUUGCCUUCUCUCGUC